CAGUUCGGGUGCCAGCAUCUGCGGUAAUUCCAGCUCCAAUAGCGUAUAUGUAAAUUGUUGCGGUUGAAAAGCUCGUAGUUGGACUUCUGGCGUCCGGAUUCGGUCCGCCUUGAGCGAGCACUGGAUCCGGUCGUCGUUUGUGUCGACGAGGUUCGUCGGACUUCACUGGCUGGCGUUCUCCAGUCGACAGGGUUACUUUGAGGAAAUCAGAGUGCUCAAGGCAAGCGCACGCUCGUGACUUCACUAGCAUGGAAUAACACAGAUGGGCUCUUUUUCGCAACGUUGGUCUGCGUCAAUUGAGCAACGAUCGAUAGAGACGGUCGGGGGCAUUCGUAUUGCGCAGUUAGAGGUGAAAUUCUCCGAUCUGCGCAAGACGCACUAAUGCGAAAGCAGUUGCCAAGGACGUCCUCUUAUGAUCAAGAGCGAAAGUCGGGGGAUCAAAGAUGAUUAGAUACCGUCGUAGUCCCGACCAUAAAUGAUGCCGACUGAGCGUCGGCGACUCGGCCUUCGGCCGUACGUCGGCGCUCUUGAGAGAAAUUAAAGUCUUUGGGCUCCGGGGGUAGUAUGGUCGCAAGUCUGAAACUUGAAGGAAUUGACGGAAGGGCACCACAAGGCGUGGAUGUUGCGGCUUAAUUUGACUCAACACGGGAAAGCUUACUAGGUUUGGACACUUGAAUGAGGGACAUAUUGAAGCUCUUACCUUUUUUUGUGGAUGGUGGUGCAUGGUCGUUCUCAGCCCGUGGGUUGACCUGUCAGGUUUACUCCGGUAACGCGCGAGACCUCGGUUUGCUAAAUAGACGCGGCUGUUUCGGCACCCGCGUUCUUCUUAGAGAGAGUCUCGACGAGAGUCGAGGGAAGUCGAGGCAAUAACAGAUCUGUGAUGCCCUUAGUUAUCCUAGGUCGCACGCGCCAAACAAUGUCGCUUACAACGAGUUCCUAGGCCGACAGGUAUUCUCCWUCGCGUUCGUUGGCUUCCCCGCGUGGAGGGCCAGUCGCUCCGCGAGAGCGGCCGUCUUCCCGCGAGUGGAGGCUUCCGUGCCGAUCGAGAUCGACCGGGCAAUCUUGCAGAGAGCUACGUGACUGGGCUAGACUCUUGUAAUUGUUGGUCUUCAACGAGGAAUGCCUAGUAAUCGCAGGUCAUCAUCCUGCGAUGAUUAGGUCCCUGCCCUUUGUACACACCGCCCGUCGCUCCAUCCGUGGCAUGCGCCGGUGAAGAGGGGGAGGCAGCGUCGUCCG
rnacentral:rRNA from 1 species